UCACCAUUCGAAAUGACAUGCACUUCAAAACCGCAUACAACUUGCAUGCAAGUCGCCUUCACAAGUUCAAUACAUACAAAUGAAAUCCCUGCUGCUCUAUCCACUACACCACGAAACCCGAACAAUCUCGAGGUUCAAUGUUCAAGCCCGAACUCUCUCGAUAAAAUUGGAUCGGGUAUUUAAAAAUAGAUGGAACGAUACAGAUCAUUCAGAUGGGUAUGAAAGUGAAAGAGAUAGCAAUUUAUUCGGUUCUCAUUCGUGGUUGAUGAGAAUUGUCGUUUAAAAAGAUCGUAAAAUUACUUCGGUAAUUUUACGUAUUUCCGGCCACGAAGUCUUGGAAUCCGACCUUAUCUGAGGACUAACAGAACUUCUACUCGUCCAUUUGACCUGGACCGUGGAAGAGGCGGGAGUGCGUGUUCUAAGUUUAGUGUCGCGGUGUGUUUAAUUGACCAGUUAGCCAGUUCAAUAACCUUUGUCAAGGGUUACGUGCGGUCAAGAUAGUUCGUGUGUGCGUGUAUGUGAAUAAGAAAAAGCCGUUCGACGGCUUUUUAUUCAGGAUUUGAUCCACGGCCGAAAGCUCGGCACACCGCCCCUUUUUCGCCAAACGCGCUCUCGACCCCACGCUUCAGCGUUCAAAAGUCCCGGUUUGAGGGGAAAGCCGGAAGGGAACAACCGUUCCGACAGAGCGGCCAAACCACGUUUUUCUUCGGUGUUCGUGAAGUAGACAUCGUACCCACCAAGCCACCGACGACCCCCAUCGUCAGCUCCGCCAUCAACCAACUUUUUCGGUGAUCGGAACAUUCACCACCGGAGGCGGCCGGAAUCCCACGUUUUCCACGUCGGCCAUGUGGUAGUCACCUUACCGACGAAGCCAUCGACGACCCCCAUCGUCAUCAACACCACCAAGCAACUGCGCCGGUGAUCCGGUCCGUUUAGCGACCGGCAGCGAGAAAGGCGCACUUUCCGAACCGCCGCACACCGCGCGCAUUUGGUGCAAUAGUCGCAAUACCGCCAUCGAGGAUGCGCUAAAAAUAGCGUGCUGCUUUGCCAAGCCGUCCGUUGACCGCCACGCCAUCGCUUCUGUUUUGUCGACGGCAUUCAUGAUGCGAAUCUAAAAGGGUACCGUGAGUAGAAACAAAACCAAUCCUAAUUAACCAUGCGCAUGUAUUAGAACUCCACACACUAACCGAGCUCGGAGAAGAAUCGUUUCGAUAAACGUCGAUUGAACCAGAUUAGGAACAAAUUUAGACCGCACACACGUAGGGAAAGCUAGGAAGAAGGAAAAGCGAGAUAGCAUGGAAAGGAACAUGCGUUAAUAAACCAAGGUUAUCAAAUUUGAAUAAAUGUUUCGUUAGUUUUUUGUUACCUUCAAAUGCUGUUUUUGUAGAAUGUUAGUGCUUUCCCCGAUCUAACAGUUUUUUUGGUCUUCGAGAUUUCUCACGUUCGCGUCGUUCUACCUGUUUUUUGUUAGUCUUUUUGUACGCCAGGAUAGACUGCCUGGGAAAUCAGUCUCUCCACUCACGUGUCCGAAGCUAACAGGGAAAUUUGAAUUGGUGAGUUCUUCCAAUGAUGAUACUCGUGAGUGGUGUCUUUGUGAGUUGGUAGAACGACGGUUAGCAUCAACCAUAUUCUGAGAAUCGCUUAAGGCGACCUCUAUAAGUGAGACAUCUCGAUCCACCGUACUUUUGAGUUUUCUGUAUCGUCCCUAAAUCGCUAUUUGGUCUCCUAUAAAACAAACCCGCCCUGAGGUUGGGUUUCUUGCCGGGCAAACAUAACUCGACAGACGGUCCUCUUCGGAGGUGGCGCUUAAGCCGUCUGUUUUCGGAGCCAGGGAACGAAGCAGAAGACGGGAAAACUCUUAGCCGCAAUUUGCGUGCUACAAACA